rnacentral:lncRNA from 1 species
ACAUGUGCGCAUAGAAGAUAUGGAGGAGUCCUUCUCUUGGAAGGAACUCCACACCAAGAAUUGAAUUGGGACGUCCCUUGUAUUUGGGCGAUGACAUAUGAUGAGUCCAUGUCACAUGGAACUCUUAAUUCUUCCUUUUAUUUCACAGAUCAUUUGAUGGUUUUUGGUUUUUAUGGGCAAAGAAGAGAAAGGAGAGUCCUUCUUCUGGAAGGAGUUUGAAUGCCACAAAUAAAUGAAAGUCUUUUAUUUAUGCA